AGCUCUCUGAGACCCAGCUUCAAGAGGAAAACUGCAGGGAGAGAAUGGAAAAAAGGAUGAAAAAUUGCAACUGUGGUCCACUACAUCAGGCCUCUCUUUCUCUUUGACAAUCUUUUGUGUGUCUGUGGCAGUGUGAUUCAUCACCAGCAUCUGUGUGAGGGGAUGAUGCUGGACCAGUCACAAUCAAACACAAUCUCUGUUAAUGUUUCUCUGUAGUCAACCUCUCUGGAUGGGCUUCUAGCACUGCUAUACCUGCUUGAGGGUGGAGGUGGAUGUUGUGGUGCUGGAGUUCUGAAGCAACAGGGGUCUGAGGAAGCUUCUCGCCAGGGGAGGAAGGAGACUAAGGAUGGAUGAGGAACAAUUCUAA